UUGAUGUUUGAUGGUAUGCAAACUCAGUGAGCUUCCUUGUUCCUCAGCUAUAAAAACUUCACAUCAGGCUGUUAGUGGACUUCACAGCACGUCAGUUUCAACAUAAACCAUGUUUUCUGUAGCUCUGCUGCUGCUGUUGGCAGCUGGAUGUGUGAAGUGUGAACAGUUGACACAGCCAGCCUCUGUGACUGUGCAGCCAGGUCAACAUCUGACCAUCACCUGUCAGGUCUCUUAUUCUCUUGGCUACUACACAGCUUGGAUCAGACAGCCUGCAGGGAAAGGACUGGAGUGGAUUGGAAUGAAAGAUACUGGAGCUUCAUACUACAAAGAUUCUCUGAAGAACAAAUUCAGUAUUGAUUUAGACUCUUCCAGCAACACAGUGACUCUAAAUGGACAGAAUGUGCAGCCUGAAGACUCUGCUGUGUAUUUCUGUGCCAGAGACUCACAGUAACACAAACCAUCAGUGGAGCUGAACAAAAACCCCUCAGUGCCUGAACACUUGGAACAUGAAGUCACCAGAGGAGGAGCCCUCAGACCACUAAUGAUUUCAACACCAGCUCACUGUGAAAGAGACAGAUAAAGCAGAGGAAA